rnacentral:rRNA from 1 species
UACAGAGGUCCCAAGCGUUGUUCGGAUUCACUGGGCGUAAAGGGUGCGUAGGUGGUGAGGUAAGUCGGAUGUGAAAUCUCCGAGCUCAACUCGGAAAUGGCAUUGGAAACUACCUUGCUCGAGGGUUGGAGGGGGGACUGGAAUGCUUGGUGUAGCAGUGAAAUGCGUAGAUAUCAAGCGGAACACCUGCGGCGAAGGCGGGUUGCUGGGCCGACACUGACGCUGAGGCGCGAAAGCCAGGGGAGCGAACGGG